GAUGAACGCUGGCGGCGUGCCUAAUACAUGCAAGUCGAGCGAACAGACGAGGAGCUUGCUCCUCUGACGUUAGCGGCGGACGGGUGAGUAACACGUGGAUAACCUACCUAUAAGACUGGGAGAACUUCGGGAAACCGGAGCUAAUACCGGAUAAUAUAUUGUACCGCAUGGUUCAAUAGUGAAAGACGGUUUUGCCGUCACUUAUAGAUGAAUCCGGGCCGCAUUAGCUAGUUGGUAAGGUAACGGCUUACCAAGGCAACGAAGCGUAGCCGACCUGAGAGGGUGAUCGGCCACACUGGAACUGAGACACGGUCCAGACUCCUACGGGAGGCAGCAGUGGGGAAUCUUCCGCAAUGGGCGAAAGCCUGACGGAGCAACGCCGCGUGAGUGAUGAAGGUCUUCGGAUCGUAAAGCUCUGUUAUUAGGGAAGAACAAAUGUGUAAGUAACUAUGCACGUCUUGACGGUACCUAAUCAGAAAGCCACGGCUAACUACGUG
rnacentral:rRNA from 1 species